AGGUUAAGCUAGUAAGAGCACACGGAGGAUGCCUAGGCACCAGGAGCCGAUGAAGGACGUGGCGAACAACGAAAUGCCUCGGGGAGCUGUAAGCAAGCAUUGAUCCGGGGAUGUCCGAAUGGGGAAACCCGGCUGUCGUAAUAGGCAGUCACGCAUAUCUGAAUACAUAGGAUAUGCC
rnacentral:rRNA from 1 species